rnacentral:rRNA from 1 species
AUGCCCUAUGCCGCCGCCGAUGCCUCCUCCUCCACCUCCAUUCCCAAGCGAGGGCGCCCGCGGCCGCGGUCUUCUCCCCCAGCCACCAUGGCUGCAGAUCCACUCACGGCCGGUCGUCUAAGCUGCAAGCAUGGAUGGAUGGAUCCAGGAAGGUAUCCUUCCUCCCUGGGUGGAGCGAGCUGCACAUCCCAUUCGGCCCUCUGUAGCCGGCCAUCUCCGCCUCCUCCUCGCCGUCGCCGCCGCCGGGGAUCGCGUCUUCACCAAGCGCGAGCUCCGCCCCAUCCGACCGACCGCAAAGGGGUUGUCCAUUGUAAAUUUUCAAGGAGAUUCAAAUGUUCCUCUUCUGGAUGA